rnacentral:rRNA from 1 species
CAGUCGACGCUGAAGCCCGAAGCUUGCUUCUGGUGGAUGAGUGGCGAACGGGUGAGUAACACGUGAGUAACCUGCCCCUGAUUUCGGGAUAAGCCUGGGAAACCGGGUCUAAUACCGGAUACAACCAACCCUCGCAUGAGGGUUGGUGGAAAGUUUUUCGAUCAGGGAUGGGCUCGCGGCCUAUCAGCUUGUUGGUGGGGUAAUGGCCCACCAAGGCGACGAACGGGUAGCCGGCCUGAAAGGGCGACCGGCCACACUGGGACUGAGACACGGCCCAGAACUCCUACGGGAGGCAGCAGUGGGGAAUAUUGCACAAUGGGGGAAACCCUGAUGCAGCGACGCAGCGUGCGGGAUGACGGCCUUCGGGUUGUAAACCGCUUUCAGCAGGGAAGAAGCGAAAGUGACGGUACCUGCAGAAGAAGUACCGGCUAACUACGUGCCAGCAGCCGCGGUAAUACGUAGGGUACGAGCGUUGUCCGGAAUUAUUGGGCGUAAAGAGCUCGUAGGUGGUUGGUCACGUCUGCUGUGGAAACGCAACGCUUAACGUUGCGCGUGCAGUGUGUACGGGCUGACUAGAGUGCAGUAGGGGAGUCUGGAAUUCCUGG